UGGGCAUUCAGUUAGUUUUACUCUAAUUACCUGAGCUAGAGUCUCUUGUAUGGCUAGAAUGUGCUAGCAACUCCACUGUCUUGAGGUGUCUGCUUUAGCAGCUGGCUGCGUAUAUAUUUGUGGUGGAGAAUCUGAAAUUAAUCCCUACCAUUUUUUGUCUGCAGGUUAAAGUAUAGUUGAGCAAGCUGAUUUAGAAAGCACUGCAUCUUGAAAAAGCCUGUUAAAGGUGAUUUGAAAGUACUUUUUAAUUCUCUUUAAAAGCACAAGCCAUUAACAGAUUACAUGUGAACUUGAAACAUUCUCAACCCACCCACCCUACCCCGCCACUCAAAAAAAAAAAAAAAAGCAUCCUAGAAAAACUAAGAUUUCUUCUGUUUAAGUCUUGUAGAAGGUUACAUUUUUUCUCUGGAGGUUAGUACAGAAGGGGAGCAGAGCUGCAGUUCUUCCCUGCUUCAGAGUGUAAAUGGCCUUAAAAUGCAAAAAACUAAAUAUUUAUUUUGGCAGGUAGGUAAUACAGACAAGACUUUAAUUUGGUGCUACACCAUAUGUGGAUGACAAGGUAUCUUAAGCAGUGUUUAGAAAUCAUCUUUUUAUUCUGUUUUGGUAAGUCUGAUGCAGAUAGUAGUAAAAGAUUUGCUUGACCCCCGUUGCUGAUGCAGUUACUGGCCUUUGUACAUGCAACUUCUGUUUUUUGAGAAUACUAUAUUACUGUUUGAAGCACAGAAAACACAGGUUUACCAAGAAACACCUACACUGUUUCAGCUUACUCAUCUGUGAAUGCUCAGAACUCUUGUGCAAGUGAUGAGUCUUUACUGCUAUUCUUUGAGGUGAUUGGUUUUCUAUUUCCUUUGAACUGAAGUUGCCACAUUCUUUUCUUUGAAGAAGCUGUGGACCGAUUAAUUUGUCUGAUAGCAGAGCUUACUGUACUCUUCAGAGCUACACAGAAAUCAAGAUAUUUUUUUUUUCAGUUAAUGCCAACCAGAUGGCACUAAAGCUGUGACGUCAUGUUAGGAUUAAAUUGGAGAAAAAACAAAAGCUUGAAAUUGUUUCCACAAUAAUUAAAUUUUUGUGGUUUCGUAUUGCCUGAUACAGUUUUAAACCAUUAACUUCUACUUUCUGAAAGAAAAUUCACCACUUUUCUAUGGAAAAUAUUUCAGUGGAUUAACAUUACACUAUUGUAUGGAGUAUCACUUGCAGUCCACAGUCAAGAUUUUGCGCUCCAUUGAACCUACGUGCUACAUAAUUGUGGAACAAGAUCUUUCUUCUGCCUUAAGAAGAGGCAUCAAAACUAAAUGGUCUUUUUAUAUGCUGCUAGAAAUCUUGACAACUACUGACAUGUAAUGGAAAAUGGGAUUUAACUUGCUUUUGGAUUGCAGAGUCUUUAAAUAUAUUGGAGCAAGAAAUAAUUCUUCUGAAGCCUUCCAAGGUUUCUUAUUGAAUCUUUUGCUUUCUUCUUGGAAUGAAGAAAAAGAGGGAUAAAUAUCCAAACCAAAGCACUAAAGAUACUUCUGACAGAAGAACCUGCUAACUUCACUCUGACUGAGAAAUCUCAGAACUUCAGCUUGAUUUGGAGAUGCUACCGAGAUCUCUCACACAGAAACAUGCUUGAAGCUCUAACGUGAACAGUCCAAACAGGGAUCCCGUCCUGCGCCUGGGAUGCGUCUGAGCCAAGCUCUGAACAGUUAAUGUGGAGCAGAUAAGUCCUAUUACCAGAGAGGGAAUGGCACAAAGAUGCAUGUCUUCAGUGAUGCUUCCCAGAAAUCACCUUAUAACUUCUCAUAGACUAAUUACCGUGAUUUUUAUCUAGGGGUUUACCCUCAUGAGUCAGACCUCUUCCAUUUUGCAGAUGGGCUGGGGGGAUGCUACAUCUUAUUGUGGGAUGGCGGAUGGAUCACGUGGUAUUUUGAACUGUCUAUGGUGUGGAUUCAUGUGCUGGGGCACGCUGACUGUCCAAAGCUCCGCUACAGUUGUAUGUAUUGAUAACAUACCUGUGUGCUAAAUCUUAACAGUGCAGAACUGAGUUGUCAUGGCAGGGGAUUUUCCCAGUGCUACGGUUCUGUUUAAAGGUCUUAUGGGGAAAACAGACAUUGGAGAGGUGUCUACAUAAAACCUUCCUCCCUAUUAAUCUCAGUGCUCCUUUAUUUGUACCAGGAUUUAGGGCUGUUGUAUGUAGAUCUUUCACAUGUAGGGCCUGACUUUUUUUUGGUACCACCUCAUUUGCCUUGUCAUUACUCCAUUACUUAUGGAUUUCUGUUUUAUACCUGCAUGGUAUCUGUUACAUCUAUACUACUUGCAUUUACCUAUCUUCCCUGCCUUCUUCUUCCCCAGCUCUCUUAACUGGCAUUUUGUAUGUCUGAGAAUCCUUUCUCAGCUUUUAUCUUCCAGCAUGCAAUGUGUUUCGGUCAUGGGGCUGUUAACUGUAAGGUUUAUUUCCACUGGAAAAAGCCACUGAAGGCUUCCAAACACAUGACCGUUCAAUAAUAUACUGAAUAAAGACAAUUGAACUGGCACCAGAAGGCUUAUAGGAGAAGCUUUGUGAGAUGGUGAACUGAGUUUUGCAAACUGCUCAACUAGCAAGAUCCUUGGAUCACUGGAGCAUGUUGUGGGAACAGUGUAAGGGCCAGUAAAUUUUUCUGAAAAGGCUUUUGGGACAUGACACACUGCUUUCAGGUGACGUCAGUGCCAUGCUCCUGAGGAACACCUUCCACACUGGUUCUAGCAUCUUUUGCAAAGAGGGGAGCUGCUCUGGAAAAAAUUGCUACUGCCACUAGUUGCUGGAGAACAACUUCUGCAGAAAGAACAGCUGGGUGGCUCCAAGGCUGAUGGUGGGCUGUGGUUGACAUAAGAGGCCAUACAGUAGUGUUAAAAGAGGUGAGAUCUGCUGCUGGUAACUGCCAGUCUACUGACUGACAGAGGUCUUCAUACUCACUGUUAAGAAACAUCUUAAGAAUUGUAGUAGGGCUAUUCCCUACUAUUUAGGCUAUUGGCCUAAAUUGAUGACACAGUCAAAAGCUAAACUUGGUUUUCCUUAACCAGUAAAUUUGGGGACAAAUGGUCAUAGGCGGGGUGUGGUGAUCUGAGUAAAGCUGCACUGUCGGGAGAUGGUGGGCUUUAGUAUGAGAGUAUUGAUGCAGACAGAUGCAGAGUGUAUUGAUAGGCUGUUAGCAGGGAAUAAGUUGGCCACUGAGUAUGUAAAGGAAAGAAACUGCCAUAUUUUUGUUUGAAUUGCACCACACAGUUAUAUGGAAACAAGCUUAAAACAACUCGGGAGAAAGAGGAUUCUGCAGUUUUGUCUCAGUUAUUGGAGAGUUCACACAGCAAUAAUGUCUUUGGCACUGAACAGAUGCUCUGUGCCAUUGUAGUCUUCCCCACAGUAGCUGCUCAAGAAACACUGGUCCAAAGAUAAUUCCUUCCAGUGUGAGGUGGCCCCUUCUAAAGAAUGAAAUACAAACAUCUUUAUGAGUAAACUGGGAUCUGCAAGGAUUUUGUGUUCCAAUUGGUGUGACUGUUCCAAUGCAGAAAGCAUUGCCACCAGUAUCCUGAUGACAGUGCAGGUACCAAAGAUGCUUGCACAAGGAAAUUGUAUAGUGUUAAUGGACACAUCUCCAGUUAAGUGCUAGCAUAUGGGUGAGUAUAGUAUUGUCACUCCUUUACAUUUCAAUGCAUAAUCAAAGCUCCACAAAGUUCCUGAAACAGAACGUUUGUCACCAGAUCAAACACGCUUGGCUUCUUACCACCUUGGGAAGCCAAGAUCCCGUGUCGUGAAUACAGAGACCUUCACUGACGACUGUUACUGAGAUGGUGUUUCCAAUUUCCAGAUGCUGCCAGUUCCUGCAAAGAAAUUGCUCUGGUCUUUUAGAUAACAUUGCUCAUUAAAAGUUUAGUCACAAAUGGAGGUGAGAUUCCUUUCAAGCUCAGGACUUAGAAAUAGCUGCAGAAUAAAUGGUCUGAAGUUGCGGUGUGAUGAAGAAAAACACAGUGAAGGGCUCUACCUGAGCUCUGACAGCAGUGUUGAUGGACUUGUGCUCUACCCAGAGGGUAUCUGAAGAGUCUGCUCCUGAGUAAAAAGCCUCUGUUGUUCUGCCCUUUCUUGGAGACACCAUGCUAUGGGCAUGGCCUUCCGCAAAAGAAGCAACAAACUGAAAAACCUCUGAGCCAGCAGCAGUCAGAGCUGAGACGAUAGGGCUUUGCUGCCACUUGGCAUAAUGCUCACAGCUGCAGCCCGGGAGGUUUCUGAACAUGAAUAGAUGAUAUUCUGCUUUAUAACGAUUGCUCAAGAUUAGAGCGCACUGUGGCUUCUAAAAAUGCCGUUUCUACAGCAUUUUGUACAGCAUUUUGUAACUGUGAUACUAUUCUUAAGGCAUUAUAUUUAGAAACAGCCUUUGUAAUUGUUUUUAUUUGAACACAGGUUGCACUGCCAGUCAUGGGGACUCAGUAGACACAGGUGUGUAGGGCUGGCCUCACUUUUCCCUUGAGCAUGAAUCCAUGGUGUUUUCAAAAGUUGUCCUUAAUUCUACUGUUUCUUACUCACAGACCUGGAACUUAGAAACAAAAAACAAUUAUUUAAGCUGUUGAAUAUUCUGUGCUUAUUCUGAGAACCAGAUACGGACAGGUUUUAUAUAGAGAUUUAUAGAUAUGUGUAUACACAUAUAUGUUGUCAGGUGUUUCGCUUAGUUUUUUAAAGUAAUACAAAGUAUUUUUCUAUAACUUCUGUUCUUGUGUAAAGCUAUGGAUGACACGUAUGUGCUUUGGGAAAUUCAGUAAAAUAUUUUCCUUGAAGUUUCA